rnacentral:rRNA from 1 species
UACAGAGGGGGCAAGCGUUAUUCGGAAUUAUUGGGCGUAAAGGGCGCGUAGGCGGCCAUUCAAGUGACGGGUGAAAGCCCUCGGCUUAACCGAGGAACUGCCUGUCAGACUGGAUGGCUUGAGACCGGGAGAGGUGAGUGGAACUCCGAGUGUAGAGGUGAAAUUCGUAGAUAUUCGGAAGAACACCAGUGGCGAAGGCGGCUCACUGGCCCGGUACUGACGCUGAGGUGCGAAAGCGUGGGGAGCAAACAGG